GUAGGUGAACCUGCGGAAGGAUCAUUACUGAGGGCGUGUGGGUUUUAAUAACUCCGCGAACCCCCCAACCCUUUGUCUAUCAUCCUAUUAUAGUUUGUUUGGGGCACGGUUUUGUGGGCUUUUUUAAGUCUAAGGGACUCCAAACCAAAUCUCACGGCCCCAAAAGAAAAAACUACUCCAGUCUAAAAACUCAAAUAUUAUGUUGUCUGAAAUUAAAUAAGAACAAGCAAAACUUUCAACAACGGAUCUCUUGGUUCCG
rnacentral:misc_RNA from 1 species